AAUACAUCAAGUUACCUAAAUUUAUAAUAAUGAUAUAUUAAUAAUUUUAAUUAUAGGUGUUUAAAUUCUAUAUAGUAAUAUUAUUAUUUGUUUAUUUAAUUAUUUUAUGUGUUAUAUUUAAGUAUUAAAUUUGUUGUUUUAUAUUUAGAUAUAUAUAUUAUUAUUAAUAUAAUAAAAAUAUAAUUUUAAAAUUUACUGAACUGUGAUAUAUAGUUUGUUAUUUUUUGUUUGAUGUUUAAAUAUUUAACUAUUGAAGGAAUACAGUUGUUAUAUAUGUACCAAGUAAAGAUAGUAAGAUUAUUUUAUUUAAAUUAAUAAAUAAUUAUUUAAUUAUGAAAAAAUUAAUGAAUAUUAUGAAAAAUUUAAAAAUUAAUUAUUUUAACUGAUAUUAUAUAGUUGAAAAAAUAUAUUUAUUUGAAUAUUAAAGAAUACUUAUUUAAUUUGUAAUUCAUAUUAAGAAAUAUAAAUACUCAGUAAUAAAAUAAAAGAAGUUAAUGUAUAAAAAUUAAUAUUUAAUAUUUGUUUAAUUAAAAGUAACUUAUUAUCGAAGUCAUAAGUAUUAUUAUAAAAGAUGUAAUUUUAAAAAUAUAAAUAUAUUGUUAAUAAAAUUAUUGUAUUUUAAGUGCGUUUAUUAAAUGCGUUUGUCUAAGAAAUGUAUUUAAGAUUAUUCUUGUAUAUAUAUAUAUAUUUUAAUAAUUCUAAAAAUAAAAAAUAAUAUCCUCAGAAGUAAAAUUUUAGUAGCAUAGUAAUUUGUUAACUAAAUAUUAAAGUGUUCCAUAGAAAUUUUUUAAAUUAAAACAAAAAAAUAAUGUAUGAAUUAAAAUAAAAAUUUUAAUAAAAAUUAAAUAAUUAAAAUAGGGCAAGUCCUACUCUCCUUUACAAAGAGAACUUAUAUUAUAAUGCGUAUGUAAUUGUAUGUUUGAUUGGGGCAAUACUAUAUCUAUUUAUAUAGGUUAAGAGAACUAUAAUUAUUGAAAUAAUAAAAGGUUCGAGCAGGUUAACAAGCAUUAAGACUAAAUGUGUUUCAUCGUCUACUUAUUGCUAAACAAAUUGAUUGUUCAUCAAAUUUGCAAUUCGUUAGUUGGGUUAAAAUCGUUGUAAAGCAGAUUUGUUUAUAUAUUUAAUUAGUAUAUAAUGUUAUCAGUAAUAUUAGUACGCAAGGAUCAAUUAU
rnacentral:rRNA from 1 species